GACGAACGCUGGCGGCGUGCCUAAUACAUGCAAGUCGAACGCAGUGGGGACGGGUGCUUAACACGUGGGUAACCUCCCAUCAGAGGGGAUAACACUUGGAAACAGGUGCUAAACCCCCUAUGGGUGGAUGGACUCGGGGGGGAGUAGCUAGUUGGUGGGGUAACGGCUCACCAAGGCGACGAUGCAUAGCUGGUCUGAGAGGGUGACCGGCCACACUGGAACUGAGACACGGCCCAGACUCCUACGGGAGGCAGCAGUAGGGAAUAUUGGGCAAUGGACGAAAGUCUGACCGAGCAACGCCGCGUGAGUGAAGAAGGUCUUCGGAUUGUAAAACUCUGUUGUUAGAGAAGCGGUAUCUACCCAGAAAGCAACGGCUAACUACGUGCCAGCAGCCGCGGUAAUAC
rnacentral:rRNA from 1 species